CUCAAGAAUAAAUUGUGAUUGUGCGCGAGAUAUACCAAAAAAAUUUACUGAGAGAAACAUCAUAUUAUUAAGAUGAUGAUGCUGAAUCUACUUGUGCUUUCAGAUUCAAGAACGAUGGUGUAUAGAAAAAGUGCCUCAAUGUUUCGGUGAGAAAUCACUAUUUCAGCAAGAAUCUCGAUGUUUGCGCCACAAAAAUGAUCGCAAAAGACACAGCAUUUUCUACUGUGAUAGAAUAAAUCAGCAAUUCGAGAUUUUCCAGAUGGUUUUUCACAAGCAUGCUGCUAGUAAAUUGGAGUCGUGUUAUUCAUCCUAGCGCCUUAUUACAAAACGAGGCUUGCAAGUUAUAUAAGGAAAGUUGGUCUCCUAAGAUGAUGCUGGCGGUGGCACAAAAGAGGCAUCAUACUAGAUUUUUCAACUCAAAAUCUCCACAUUAUAAUGUCCGACCAGGACUGUGGUUGACACUGGAGUUUGUCACCCAAGGAAUAAUGACUUCUACUUGUGUGCUCAUCAAGGAACCAUGGUGAGCUUUUUUCACAAAAAAAUAUGUUUCAGAUCGAAUCCAAACUUGGAUCUAACGGCAUAUUUGUAAUUUCGUUGGUUGGUGUUUAAUUGUAUUUAGAACCGUAGCUUGACCUAUCUUGUGAAUUUUGACAUUUUGACUUUAAUGUGUCCCUUGACUUUAAUGUUUUUUUACUUUUUUCACAAAAAACUUGUGUCAGAUAGUUUUACAUGUUAAAAUUCAUAAUACGGGUCAAGGUUCGGAUCUAAACUCGUAUCUAACGGCAUAUUUGUAAUUUUGUUAAUGUGUGUAGGGAACGAGACGGCCGACCCACUAUCAUGUCUUGUGCGACGAGAUCGGUUGCACUGCCGAUGAAAUAUAAAAGUUUGUGCAUGCUUUAUCUUUUGUGUAAGUAGAUAUGUUAAUUUGUGUAUAUUCACACAAUAUUAUUUACAUUUAUAUCAAUAGCACGCAUGUAUGAUCCAUUGUUUUGAUUCUUAUAGGUAUCGGCCAAGUAAUAGAGCUGUCUCUGUAGGUAUGUAUGAUCUAAGUAUAAUUUUUUAUUUGAUUAGUUUGUUAUAUAUCUGCAGUUGCCCCCAUCUUAUACACACAUCGUGUUGCGGCCAAAAUGUCCCAAUUUCUUGAAGAAACUGAUCAAGUUCCGGCCCAAGUGCCUCCACUUCCAAGACUGCACAGAAAGGCAGUGACUUGUAUGUUCUUUUGUUAACAAAAUUAGUUUAGUCCUUUUGACGAUUAUGGUCGAUUUAUUUAUUGAAUAAAACUAUCUAGACAACAUCUGGUUUUAGAAAUAAAAAUUGGUUGAACCAUUUUAUUGAGUUGGACCAAUUUUUUAUUUUUUUUAUUUUGUAAAGUUACAAUUAUGUCUCUAAUUU